rnacentral:rRNA from 1 species
GUGGGGAAUUUUGGACAAUGGGCGCAAGCCUGAUCCAGCAAUGCCGCGUGCAGGAAGAAGGCCUUCGGGUUGUAAACUGCUUUUGUACGGAACGAAACGGUCCGGGUUAAUACCCUGGGCUAAUGACGGUACCGUAAGAAUAAGCACCGGCUAACUACGUGUCAGCAGCCGCGGUAAUACGUAGGGUGCAAGCGUUAAUCGGAAUUACUGGGCGUAAAGCGUGCGCAGGCGGUUUUUUAAGACAGGCGUGAAAUCCCCGGGCUCAACCUGGGAAUUGCGCUUGUGACUGCAAGGCUGGAGUGCGGCAGAGGGGGAUGGAAUUCCGCGUGUAGCAGUGAAAUGCGUAGAUAUGCGGAGGAACACCGAUGGCGAAGGCAAUCCCCUGGGCCUGCACUGACGCUCAUGCACGAAAGCGUGGGGAGCAAACAGGAUUAGAUACCCCUGUAGUCC